GUCGGGAUAGCUCAGUUGGUAGAGCAGAGACUGAAAUC
rnacentral:tRNA from 1 species